GGAAGUAAAAGUCGUAACAAGGUUUCCGUAGGUGAACCUGCGGAAGGAUCAUUACUGAUUUAGCGAACCGAGCAUUAGCGAGGUUUUGCGAUCAAAUUAUAUUUAAAACCCACUCUUUAAUGUAUAAAAUUUGUACUAUGAUAAAUUAAAAGAUCACUUUCAACAACGGAUCUCUUGGCUCUCGCAUCGAUGAAGAACGUAGCGAAGUGCGAUAAGUAAUGUGAAUUGCAGUAUUCCGUGAAUCAUCGAAUCUUUGAACGCAUAUUGCACUUUCUGGUAUUCCGGAAAGUAUGCCUGUUUGAGGGUCAGUUAAAUAAAAAUCGGUGUUGUUGCUGCCUUUCGUGGUGACGCGUCGGAAUUGAGUUGUCUUACCCUUCGGUUAAGUGACUUAAAAUUUUGCAUGAUUUUCGAACGUAUUUAAAUUUAUUUGAACGUUUGAUAUCGAAUGCUUAUUAGGUUCGGUCAUCCUCAUGACUCGCGCCUAUAAUUUUUCAUUAAAUGACCUCAAAUCAGGUAAGAAUACCCGCUGAACUUAAGCAUAUCAAUAAGCGGAGGA
rnacentral:rRNA from 1 species